rnacentral:lncRNA from 1 species
AGCUUCAAUUCUUCCUUCCAAGCCUGGGGGCUGCAUCACUAGUUGCCAUCGAGUCCCAACUUUAGCCCCGAGGCCAACAAGCACCUUGGCAUUCCUCGACCUCCUCUAUGGAUGGAGCCCUCCUAAAAACCAACUACUCUGACAACCCCAACUUAUCCAACUCCCCCUCUUCCUCCAUUUUCACCUCUUCCUCACCCCC